AGAGUUUGAUCCUGGCUCAGAACGAACGCUGGCGGCGUGGAUAAGACAUGCAGGUCGAGCGAGAUUUUUUCCUGUAGCAAUACAGGGAAAAGUCUAGCGGCGAACGGGUGCUUAACACGUGGGCAACCUGCCGAGAAGUGGGGGGAUAGCUCGCCGAAAGGCGAAUUAAUACCGCAUGUGAUUAGAGAGGACAUCCUUUCGAAAUCAAAGUCGGGGCAACCUGACGCUUUUUGUGGGGCCCGCGGCCUAUCAGCUAGUUGGUGAGGUAACGGCUCACCAAGGCUUUGACGGGUAGCUGGUCUGAGAGGACGACCAGCCACACUGGGACUGAGACACGGCCCAGACACCUACGGGUGGCAGCAGUCGAGAAUUUUUCUCAAUGGGGGAAACCCUGAAGGAGCGACGCCGCGUGGAGGAUGAAGGUCUUCGGAUUGUAAACUUCUGUCAUUGGGGAACAAGGUGCAUACGUUAACUGCGUGUGCAUUGAUAGUACCCGAAGAGGAAGAGACGGCUAACUCUGUGCCAGCAGCCGCGGUAAUACAGAGGUCUCAAGCGUUGUUCGGAUUCAUUGGGCGUAAAGGGUGCGUAGGCGGCGCGGUAAGUCGGGUGUGAAAUCUUGGAGCUUAACUCCGAAACUGCAUUCGAUACUGCCGCGCUUGAGGACUGGAGAGGAGACUGGAAUUUACGGUGUAGCGGUGAAAUGCGUAGAUAUCGUAAGGAAGACCAGUGGCGAAGGCGGGUCUCUGGACAGUUCCUGACGCUGAGGCACGAAGGCCAGGGGACAAACGGGAUUAGAUACCCUAGUAGUCC
rnacentral:rRNA from 1 species